rnacentral:rRNA from 1 species
CAACGAGCGCAACCCUCGUCACUAGUUAACUAGCGGUUCGNCCGAGGACUCUAGUGAGACUGCCUUCGCAAGGAGGAGGAAGGUGAGGACGACGUCAAGUCAUCAUGGCCCUUACGGCCAGGGCAACACACGUGCUACAAUGGUUAGGACAAUGAGACGCGAUACCGCGAGGUGGAGCAAAUCUAUAAACCUAAUNUCAGUUCGGAUUGUAGUCUGCAACUCGACUACAUGAAGCUGGAAUCACUAGUAAUCGUAGAUCAGCUAUGCUACGGUGAAUACGUUCCCGGGUCUUGUACUCACCGCCCGUCACACCAUGGGAGUUGAUUUCACNCCGAAGCGGGGAAGCUAAACUGGCUACCCUACACGGUGGGAUCAGCGACUGGGGNGAAGUCGUAACAAGGUA